ensembl:lncRNA
UUUUUUUUUUUUCUUUUCCCCCCCUCUCAUCUGUUCAUCAGAAAAAAGAAGAGAAGAUUCAUCUGGAAAGAGCGCAUGCGUAGUGAACACUAAACAACAAAGCCUGAUUGGACCGGCUCAUGGACCAUGUCUGAUUUUACUGGUUUAUAAUGGGUCGUGUCUGAUUUUACAGGUUUAUAAUGGGUCAUGUCUGAUUGGACGAGCGUGUGACGGGUCAUGUCUGAUUGGAGAGGCUUUUGAUGAGCCACACAUGAUUGGACUUGUGAUGGGCCUUGUCAACUUUGACAAGUUUAUUACUGAUUGUACCAGACUGGACAGAAUUUUGUCUGAUUCCUGUCAUAUCUGUCAAAUAUCUGACUUCAUGAGCCGAUCACGGUUUGUAUUUAUUUUUAUUUAUUUUAUUUUUUUACCGGUUGGGCCUUUUAAUAGACGAGACAUGAUUGGACCGACUUGUGACCGGUAAUAUCUAAUUCG